UACAGAGGUCUCAAGCGUUGUUCGGAUUUAUUGGGCGUAAAGGGUGCGCAGGCGGUACGGUAAGUCUGGUGUGAAAUCCUGGAGCUUAACUCCAGAAUUGCACUGGAUACUGCCGUGCUAGAGGACUGGAGAGGAGAUUGGAAUUCACGGUGUAGCAGUGAAAUGCGUAGAUAUCGUGAGGAAGACCAGUGGCGAAGGCGAAUCUCUGGACAGUUCCUGACGCUCAUGCACGAAGGCCAGGGGAGCAAACGGG
rnacentral:rRNA from 1 species